rnacentral:rRNA from 1 species
UUGCAGUUAAAAAGCUCGUAGUUGGAUUUCUAGCAUGACAUGGACGGACCGGUGAUACUUCGAUAGAACUGAGUUCCAUUUGUGUCUGUUAUCUUGACGGUCACUUCGGCGAUUGUCUCAUUUACUUUGAAAAAAUUAGAGUGUUUAAAGCAGGCUUGCGCAAUGAAUACAUUAGCAUGAAAUAAUAACAUAAGACUUUUGUUUUAUUUUGUUGGUUCAUAAAACAUCAGUAAUGAUUGAUAGGGAUAGUUGGGGGUGCUAGUAUUGAGCGGCCAGAGGUGAAAUUUGGGGAUUCGCUCAAGACUAACUUAUGCGAAAGCAUUCACCAAGGAUGUCUUCUUUAAUCAAGAACGAAAGUUGGGGGAUCGAAGACGAUCAGAUACCGUCGUAGUCUCAACCAUAAACUAUACCGACUAAGGAUCAGUGACCGUUGCGUUUCGACUUCAUUGGCACUUUAUGAGAAAUCAAAGUCUUUGGGUUCCGGGGGGAGUAUGGUCGCAAGGCUGAAACUUAAAGGAAUUGACGGAAGGGCACCACCAGGAGUGGAGCCUGCGGCUUAAUUUGACUCAACACGGGAAAACUUACCA